rnacentral:rRNA from 1 species
GGGUUGUGAGGUUAAGCGACUAAGCGUACACGGUGGAUGCCCUGGCAGUCAGAGGCGAUGAAGGACGUGCUAAUCUGCGAUAAGCGUCGGUAAGGUGAUAUGAACCGUUAUAACCGGCGAUUUCCGAAUGGGGAAACCCAGUGUGAUUCGUCACACUAUCAUUAACUGAAUCCAUAGGUUAAUGAGGCGAACCGGGGGAACUGAAACAUCUAAGUACCCCGAGGAAAAGAAAUCAACCGAGAUUCCCCCAGUAGCGGCGAGCGAACGGGGAGCAGCCCAGAGCCUGAAUCAGUGUGUGUGUUAGUGGAAGCGUCUGGAAAGGCGCGCGAUACAGGGUGACAGCCCCGUACACAAAAAUGCACAUACUGUGAGCUCGAUGAGUAGGGCGGGACACGUGGUAUCCUGUCUGAAUAUGGGGGGACCAUCCUCCAAGGCUAAAUACUCCUGACUGACCGAUAGUGAACCAGUACCGUGAGGGAAAGGCGAAAAGAACCCCGGCGAGGGGAGUGAAAAAGAACCUGAAACCGUGUACGUACAAGCAGUGGGAGCACGCUUAGGCGUGUGACUGCGUACCUUUUGUAUAAUGGGUCAGCGACUUAUAUUCUGUAGCAAGGUUAACCGAAUAGGGGAGCCGAAGGGAAACCGAGUCUUAACUGGGCGUUAAGUUGCAGGGUAUAGACCCGAAACCCGGUGAUCUAGCCAUGGGCAGGUUGAAGGUUGGGUAACACUAACUGGAGGACCGAACCGACUAAUGUUGAAAAAUUAGCGGAUGACUUGUGGCUGGGGGUGAAAGGCCAAUCAAACCGGGAGAUAGCUGGUUCUCCCCGAAAGCUAUUUAGGUAGCGCCUCGUGAAUUCAUCUCCGGGGGUAGAGCACUGUUUCGGCAAGGGGGUCAUCCCGACUUACCAACCCGAUGCAAACUGCGAAUACCGGAGAAUGUUAUCACGGGAGACACACGGCGGGUGCUAACGUCCGUCGUGAAGAGGGAAACAACCCAGACCGCCAGCUAAGGUCCCAAAGUCAUGGUUAAGUGGGAAACGAUGUGGGAAGGCCCAGACAGCCAGGAUGUUGGCUUAGAAGCAGCCAUCAUUUAAAGAAAGCGUAAUAGCUCACUGGUCGAGUCGGCCUGCGCGGAAGAUGUAACGGGGCUAAACCAUGCACCGAAGCUGCGGCAGCGACGCUUAUGCGUUGUUGGGUAGGGGAGCGUUCUGUAAGCCUGCGAAGGUGUGCUGUGAGGCAUGCUGGAGGUAUCAGAAGUGCGAAUGCUGACAUAAGUAACGAUAAAGCGGGUGAAAAGCCCGCUCGCCGGAAGACCAAGGGUUCCUGUCCAACGUUAAUCGGGGCAGGGUGAGUCGACCCCUAAGGCGAGGCCGAAAGGCGUAGUCGAUGGGAAACAGGUUAAUAUUCCUGUACUUGGUGUUACUGCGAAGGGGGGACGGAGAAGGCUAUGUUGGCCGGGCGACGGUUGUCCCGGUUUAAGCGUGUAGGCUGGUUUUCCAGGCAAAUCCGGAAAAUCAAGGCUGAGGCGUGAUGACGAGGCACUACGGUGCUGAAGCAACAAAUGCCCUGCUUCCAGGAAAAGCCUCUAAGCAUCAGGUAACAUCAAAUCGUACCCCAAACCGACACAGGUGGUCAGGUAGAGAAUACCAAGGCGCUUGAGAGAACUCGGGUGAAGGAACUAGGCAAAAUGGUGCCGUAACUUCGGGAGAAGGCACGCUGAUAUGUAGGUGAAGUCCCUCGCGGAUGGAGCUGAAAUCAGUCGAAGAUACCAGCUGGCUGCAACUGUUUAUUAAAAACACAGCACUGUGCAAACACGAAAGUGGACGUAUACGGUGUGACGCCUGCCCGGUGCCGGAAGGUUAAUUGAUGGGGUCAGCGCAAGCGAAGCUCUUGAUCGAAGCCCCGGUAAACGGCGGCCGUAACUAUAACGGUCCUAAGGUAGCGAAAUUCCUUGUCGGGUAAGUUCCGACCUGCACGAAUGGCGUAAUGAUGGCCAGGCUGUCUCCACCCGAGACUCAGUGAAAUUGAACUCGCUGUGAAGAUGCAGUGUACCCGCGGCAAGACGGAAAGACCCCGUGAACCUUUACUAUAGCUUGACACUGAACAUUGAGCCUUGAUGUGUAGGAUAGGUGGGAGGCUUUGAAGUGUGGACGCCAGUCUGCAUGGAGCCGACCUUGAAAUACCACCCUUUAAUGUUUGAUGUUCUAACGUGGACCCGUAAUCCGGGUUGCGGACAGUGUCUGGUGGGUAGUUUGACUGGGGCGGUCUCCUCCUAAAGAGUAACGGAGGAGCACGAAGGUUGGCUAAUCCUGGUCGGACAUCAGGAGGUUAGUGCAAUGGCAUAAGCCAGCUUGACUGCGAGCGUGACGGCGCGAGCAGGUGCGAAAGCAGGUCAUAGUGAUCCGGUGGUUCUGAAUGGAAGGGCCAUCGCUCAACGGAUAAAAGGUACUCCGGGGAUAACAGGCUGAUACCGCCCAAGAGUUCAUAUCGACGGCGGUGUUUGGCACCUCGAUGUCGGCUCAUCACAUCCUGGGGCUGAAGUAGGUCCCAAGGGUAUGGCUGUUCGCCAUUUAAAGUGGUACGCGAGCUGGGUUUAGAACGUCGUGAGACAGUUCGGUCCCUAUCUGCCGUGGGCGCUGGAGAACUGAGGGGGGCUGCUCCUAGUACGAGAGGACCGGAGUGGACGCAUCACUGGUGUUCGGGUUGUCAUGCCAAUGGCACUGCCCGGUAGCUAAAUGCGGAAGAGAUAAGUGCUGAAAGCAUCUAAGCACGAAACUUGCCCCGAGAUGAGUUCUCCCUGACUCCUUGAGAGUCCUGAAGGAACGUUGAAGACGACGACGUUGAUAGGCCGGGUGUGUAAGCGCAGCGAUGCGUUGAGCUAACCGGUACUAAUGAACCGUGAGGCUUAACCUUACAACGCCGAAGGUGUUU